UCAUCUGAUGUGAGAUAACUUCAGCAGUUCAGAGAGGGAAUUAAACACUUCUGCUUAAUUUGUGGCUGAGCCUAAUUGCAGCUGAUUUUUAGGGUCUUUGAAUCCAGUUCCAAGCAAAAGUCAAUGGGAUUUAGGGCUGUGGCAGUAGGAGCAAGUUUGGAAACUUAAUGGCCAAAUAAGCCGGUUUCUUCCCUGUCACCUUACUGAGUUACUGUAGUGGUACACAGGAGUCUACAGCAGAUUGCAUAACAGACCAUGAAGAACUUUGCUGUCUGUAUCUGAAUAUAAGCUCCUAGAUUUGAGUUCCCAUGUAUAGACAGUUAGCAUCUAGUUUCUAGACUUAAACAUUAGAACUGUAUGUUUAGACAUUAAUUGUCAUGUUUUCACUGUACAGGACUUGUCCAAGAGUUUGUCCUACCUUUGAGAACCGAGUAACCAGCACAAGUAGCCAACCUACUGUUAAAUCAGAACAUUGUAUUACAUGAAUUUUGGACAUUUUUCUGUCCUCUUUUAUUUGCUUUUCCUUUCAAGCUGCUUGUGAGCUUGCUAUUGAAAAAAUUCCUUUCAGUCUGUCCUUUAAAAUUGAUUUCAGUUUUACUUUCAAUGGUUUGUUUUUCAAGGCUGAGGUGUUACUAUUCCAGUUGUAGAGUUGGUUAUCACUUUUUAAGUCAGCUAAAGUACUUGACAAAAAAGCAAGAAGCAAAGGAGCCUCAGAAGUUACAUUUUUAAAUUUGUUGUGUAUUUACAAUUUUGUCAUCUUUGUUUUCUUUUUCGGUUCCCAGCUUGAGCUAAAAAACUGACCACUGUAGACUGAUGUUAAAUGUAUCAGGAGAUUGUUUGGAAACAAGAAAUCCAGAGGACUGUAUAACAGCAUCAGUGUAGCAGACCUUCUGUGUAUAUUUCAACCUAUUGGUCAGUGGCUGCUUAAUGUCAUCCCUUCCUGGUGCUGAAGGUCUGAUGUCAUGUUCCAACAGCAGUCAGCAGUUCAGACUGAGGAAAUAGGAGGGUGAAUUUGGGAAGUGAAGUUGACAAGAAGUUGACAGGAAACUGACACUGCUGAUAAAGGAAAGCAAGGUGUGAAAAUGGACAAGAAUUUGGAAAAGGCCUCGAGGUGUAUCUGUGCUGGAUACAGAACUGAGUUACUUCUGUCAGAUGUAUUCUCCUGGGUAUAUAUUUGCAGCACUCCUGUCUGACAGUACACACAAAAAGGUAGCAGAGAGUGAGACCAUGAACAAGGCAACCAAAACCACCUGAGUUAAGAGAGUCCUGAUCAGCCAGUGAAGGAACUUCUCCCUCUCUGCUGGAUGGCUUCCUUCUGCCCUGCCUGUGAUGUUCUGCUAUUGCCAUUUUACAGGAGAAGGCACAAUCACUGGGUCUCUUGACCUGGCAAGAAAUUGAAGUCACGUGAGUGACUACAGGUGGAGGAGGCAACAUUUUUGCUUUCUGUGCAACUUCAUUCACCAGCAAGCUUGCCUUUAACUGCAAUUUUCAAGUGUCUCACAAAAGAUUAUCAUAUGGGUCCUGAGAAAUAUCAGCAAGGGAACUCUGACUUUAUUGUGAAGAAAGAAAACAAGACAAAAAAAGAAGUGAAACUGAGGGAAUUGGUGUCAGGACUUUCUGUCUCUAGUUUUAGGCUUAGUUUGUUAAAAACUGUUAAAUGGGGAGGUGAGCUGUUUCCAAAGGGCUUUUUCAUAAAAUGCAAUCCAAUGGUAAUGCUUCCAUAUUUUUCUCUCCCAUUUACACCACAAGACUGUGGAAUAGAUAACGAGGCAGCAUUCUGUCUCACCAGUCCUUAAAUCCUGAGAAAGCCAAACAGCUGUUUGCCUCUGAAGUGCUAACACAUCCUCCAAAGGAUCCUUGAGCUUGUCAUUGAUAGGAGCAUGCUCUUCAAAUGGAAGAACACUGUUUUGGACUUUAUGGACUUCGGCUCCAAUGCUGGAGAGAGUUAGAUAUUGUUGUGCAAAGAACUUUUCCCUGGGAAUUCAGAAGGAAUUUUCAAUAGUUCUGCAUGUUUACUCCCCAAAGCAGGAAUUUCUAUGUGCUUUCUGUGGACAAAUGCUGGUGAAAGCAGAUGCCAAACCAUGGCACCACAUGAAGGCCAGAAAAACUGCUUAAAAAACCAGACUGUUCCUCUUCCCUUUUCUCAGUCAGUCAUCCCUAUUCUUAUGGAAACCUUCUUACAACUGCAGCAUAAGCAUUUGUAUGACUUUGUGGGGAACUAUAUUGCAAAAAUUGCACAUUUUUUCUCAGGGGCUGUUUUUCAUCUGGAUCAGUUCCUUGAUCUGGUUAACCAUGCAGCCACACAAAUAUUUAUGAUGGCACAGUACAACAGAUGAUCUAGGAGAAAUUGUGGGAGUGGGAGAAAGUGGGGAAUGCUUUAUUGGUAAUCAUGUUCACUUAAAAGAAUACCAAACUGAAGCUUAAAGCAAAAAGGAAUAGCAGUGGGAUGACAUGUCUGAAAAGGGAGUUGAGGCAUCUGCAUUAUUCUUCAGAAAGGAAAACACGGCUUCAAAUACCAAAUGGUGUCAUUACAGGGGGUGAGUAUCAGCUGACACAGCCAUUUCCAAAAGCUGCAGUGUGCAGGCAGGGAGACUUUUCAGUAUUUUGGUCUGUCUGAAACUUCACUUUGAGGGAGCUGGGAAGCAGAAGAUGCAUAUGGUGGAUCCAAAGGGAUGCAAAAGCAGUGAUCUGCAUGUAGCUGACCCUGUGCCUCCAUAUGAUCCACAAGUUCUGAAGUGAGAUGCUAUUUUGGAUAAAUAUGCUGGUGUCUCUGUGUGUUUGUGAGUGUGCAUACAUGGGUUCUUGCAUGGUGUUCUCCUGAAGGUGCUCCUUGUGGGUUUCUUUUGAACUGGUUUGUCACCAGGAGAGCAUUGCACACAGAUUUAUUUACUGCCAUUUUCUUAAGAAGCUGUGCUGCUUGGGCCCUGCACUCUGCAGUGGCACAAUAGCCUGUCCAAGUCCUCACAGAAAGAUGACGUGGCUCCUUGUUCCAUGUUGCCGGAUUUCAUCCGACUUCUGUCGCUUGGCACUUGGGCUUGUGUAGCUUUGGGAAGGGAUCCUCUCUGUACCUGCCCAUGCCCACCAAAACUGACUUUGCUGAGCCUUUGAUGGCCUCUGACAUUUGCUUAAAUAUGUCUGAGUUUUAUGCCAAAAUAUCCUAGUUGCAGUGCAUUCAGAUUGAGAGGAGAGAAAUUGAAUAAAUGUUGUUUCCUGCUUCCUGAGGCUCUACUGCAUUUUAUAAAACCCUUCAGAGACAGUUUCCAAUCCAGAAGGGAGCUCACAACAUGCUUCACCAUUAUUAAGCUAAAGCAGUUGCCAAGUCUAUUUAGAGCCUUACAGCUACAUGUGUGCUGAAAUGCCUUUCUGGACAGAGCUCCAAAAUGCUGGGCUAUGUCAAUGCUGCAGUUUCAACUUCCAGUUUGUAUCUUUUCUUUCUCUACAGGACCCAAGGUAUAACUUAGACACAUCCAAGCUAAUUUUGAACAUGUUAACUCAGGUGCCUACAGCAGUCUAGGUAAGGAGCAAGGAGUUUAAUAAAAAAUGUCCUGUCAAAAAAUCAAGGUAGAUUAAGCAGCAAUGAGCUCCACGGUGCUGCGGGUUCAUGACUGUCCCUGGUCCAAAAGACAAGAGUUUGGUUCUUUUCACAUGGUGCAGUAUUUUGGGGGCUGUCAUACCUUUACAUUGUGAGUAACUAUGCUUCUUGAAUACCGCUGAGAUAAGUAUUCCCUGUUCACAUCUGCCUUUUAAGAGAUUCUCUAGAGCACUGCUGCAUAGUUUCAUAGUUGUACACAAGGCAAGAGAAGGGGUUUGUGCUCUGUAGUCUGUGUUGUGGGAGGAUGGACUAUUUUCAAAUACUUUGAUUCCAGACUAAAUGCCAAGUCUGAUUUAGGCUGGCAUGUCUUGUGUUAGUGUUUCCAGGGACACAUGAACCAGUUCCUUUCAGAAAUGUUUUUUAAUGAAUGAAGUUCUGAAUAUCCAAGUGACACUUCAUUAUUCACAGUUACUUCAUUUCAGUAGAUGCUGUUUCAGUCAGUAGCUCCCUAGCUUUUAAGUGAAUAACGUCAUUAUACCUUCACUUCUUCAGAGGCUCUCAGGAUCAAAGAUGUCAACUACACUGUGAUCUUCAUUAAAAGGGAAAGACAACAGGGACAGGGCUGGCUCACGCAGUGAAAAGAUCUUUUAAAAUUCUUUGUCUCUUCAGACUAUAAUAAUGAAACAGUGACUCUCACUGGGUAAUGGAUGCAGGGUAAGAAGCAGAACAGGGCUGAAAUCAGACAAUUCAGUAGUUUUCUUUUUUUUUUUUUGUGUAUGGAGAAGGUGCUUUCCAGAUCAUUACAAAAGCUUUGUUUCCCCCACAUUUAACUGCAUUGUAGGAAAUCUGAUGGGAAAAAUGACCUUGGAAUAGGUUUACAGUUUCAGCUGCUGCAAAUUUAAGGGCAGGAUUGUUGGCUUAUAAAGCUAUGAGUGAAAAAGAAACAAAAGUUAAUCAAUUGCAGGACCAGAAAUAUGAACAAAUUUUUUUAGUGCUAAUGUUGCAUCUCUGCAUAGAGAUGCAUUUCUGAUUAGCCUUGCCCAGCCCUCUGGGGCUCCCCCCACACUUCGUAGAGCCCUUGAUCCCAUGUCAGCCUCCUGGGGCUGUUGGUCUCUGCCCCAGUGGUGCUUCAGCAGAGGCACUCUCCAGCUGCCCACAGCUCUGCUCAGCUGUGAGUGCCCCAGCCUAGGACCACUACAGGCCUGUGUCCCCAUAGAGUUACCCAGUGCCUGGGGCUGGGACUCUCUUGGCUUUCCUGCUGCCUCCCCAGCAGCUCUGUUUUGCCAUCUCUCAUGGGAAGUCCUCAGCCUUUGCAGGGCCCUGACGGUCAGGUUGCUUUUGCUGGAAUUCAGCCAGCACCUUUCUGACGGCUUUUUUUCCUGGUGCUUUGUCAGAUACAUGAAUACAUCUGAGCUGACUAAAAAUAUUCUUAUCUAUUAUUCAAUAAUCUCUUCAUCUUUCACCUUGCUGCUGGGUUGCUUUGUAAAACUUUAACAAUAAGCUCAUUUGAUUGAAGUGGAGAUAAGGAGUCAGCUCAUAAGUGCAGAUUUUUGCUGGAGAAUGAUCUGUGAAACCCAUAUGUAUUUGGCCUGCCUGCUUGUUUCAAGACCUACAAAUCCUACCAUAGGUAGAGCCCUAAGAAGAGGGUGCUUGUUUAUUUCCACAGUAAUUUCAAGUAUGUAACAUAGGACAAACAUGUUCUUUAACCUUUAUUUAAAAAUAUCUACUACAAAAGUACUGAGCUCUAAUACCCAGGAAUAGCAAAUGAGCUAUUCACCAAUAUGAAGCAAUGCUCUAAACAGUAUUUUCAUCAACGUAUUUUUUUAUUUGAAUGAUUCUUUUUUUAUCAGAAUAUUUGGUGAAUGUAUUUGACAAUGUUGCCUUAAAGAGUUUAUGACAGCAACAUGUUUGGGACUGGAAGAGGGGGAUCAAGGGAGGGUUACUAAUGUGAGAAGAUACUGCAGACCACAACAACCCCCUUUCCCUCUUGUCCUGGGUUGGCUAUUACGACACAGUUCUGGUUUUGGAAAUACGUGGUUUCUAUUUUUGCUCCUGGAAAAAAAAAAAAGAAAAAGCAUUUUUCAACAACAUUGUGAUAAGAAACUGUCAUGGCCCAGCCUGCAUGUGUGCAUGCACAAUGCACAGGUGGUGUGAGAAUAUCUGUUUCAUGAAGACUUGUUCAGGAGGGAUAAGGGAAGCCUAUCUCUAACCCAGACCAUGGUGGUAUGUGUGCUCUGAAACACUUGUCCUACCAACCUCAGAAAACCACAGAUACUACAAAGUAUCUGAGGGGGUUGCCUCAGUACAGAUUGGUGGGUAUCUGUCACCUCCUGCUGCUUUUGCCACCAAUGUGAUAGGUGUGAUAACAGUGGCUUUUCCAUGCUUACUGAAGAAUCUCUUUCACUUGAGAUAUCCCUCCAGGUUUCCUGUGUAAGCAGCACUGGAAAAUAAACUAACUAUUUUCUCAAGACUUCCUGGAAUCAUGCUCCCAAAGGAAGGGAGGGUUAAAAGCAUUUUUUUGAAAAGACUUGUUAAUUAAAAAUGAAUUGAAAAUAUCUUGCUAAACCUCUUUGUCCUUAGCUAUACUGAGAAAAUAUACUGAUCUAGCACAUAACUUGCAUAAACCACAGUUGUGUUUAAUACUGUCAGAGCAUGUCACAAAUUUCUGCCCUUGUUCAUUCCAAGGAAAAAAUGAUGUUUAAC